AAGCUUUGUACCUUAUUCUAAGUGGGAAUUGUGUCCUUAAUACUAAUAGUACGGUAAAAAUAGUACGGCAAAACAAACUACAAAACUAUAGUACGCCUAUUAUACAUUUAUGCCGUCUAAAAACUAAGAAAACACUACUGUGAAAGUUAUGUGCAAGAAAAAGGUAAUUAAACUUAGUUUAGUCAGAAAGUGAUAACAAAAUCCUACUGUCACUUGAUAGGUGUAAUAAUACCACUUGGCAGGUCCACGAGUGGGCCUUUUUCUUUUAAUUACAAGCUACAUCCACGACAGGCUCUUGGUGGCAAUCCAAGAGGCCUAAUCCUCACGCACGCUGAUUUCAAGGUUAUGUUACCUAGCUCGAGGACCUCAUUCCGAGCGAAACUGCCAUCCGGCAUCUCCCACAAACGCCGGCAGAAGCACAGCGACAGAAUACCUAUUGUCUGAAGACGUGUAUUGUUCAGACCGCUUUCCAAGCCAUACCCGCCAUCUUGAAUCGGCCAUUCCGCCGAUGUAGCAAGCUGUCCAACAUGCCGACGCUUCCCAUCGCCGACAGCUCACGGCCAUCAUCAAUCUCAACCGAAAGCGGCCCGUCGCCGCUUGUUCCCCAUCAUCAAGCUCACCAAGAUGUCGACGUGGCCCGUCUCCGCCAGUCUCGCAGCCUUAAGCAGUGGCCACUUGCUGAUCAACGGAAUCACCGAGGAUCCGGAUCCCGAGCAUGACGAUGCUCCAACCACGCAAGUACCCCUAUCAAGUGUGACAGUGCUAGCAUAGUGUAGGACCAGAAAAGUACAUUAAAAUUAGCCAUAAGUUAAAUUGAAA